AGCGAACGCUGGCGGCAGGCUUAACACAUGCAAGUCGAGCGGGCAUCCUUGUGGUGUCAGCGGCAGACGGGUGAGUAACGCGUGGGGACGUGCCCUUCGGUUCGGAAUAACUCAGGGAAACUUGAGCUAAUACCGGAUACGUGCGAGAGCAGAAAGGUUUAUCUGCCGAAGGAUCGGCCCGCGUCUGAUUAGCUAGUUGGUGAGGUUAUGGCUCACCAAGGCGACGAUCAGUAGCUGGUCUGAGAGGAUGAUCAGCCACACUGGGACUGAGACACGGCCCAGACUCCUACGGGAGGCAGCAGUGGGGAAUAUUGGACAAUGGGGGCAACCCUGAUCCAGCCAUGCCGCGUGAGUGAUGACGGCCUUAGGGUUGUAAAGCUCUUUUCUCCGGGACGAUAAUGACGGUACCGGAGGAAUAAGCCCCGGCUAACUUCGUG
rnacentral:rRNA from 1 species